rnacentral:rRNA from 1 species
AGUGGUUGUAGACGCGAAACCUUGCGAUCUACCCUUGAGCAGGUUGAAGGUUGGGUAAAACCAACUGGAGGACCGAACGAAUAAGCGUUGAAAAGCUUCUCGAUGACUUGAGGGUAGGGGUGAAAGGCUAAUCAAGCUGGGAAAUAGCUCGUACUCCCCGAAAUGCCUUUUGGGGCAGCGUUGUAAUAAAGAGUCUACUGGAGGUAGAGCUACUGAUUGGAUGCGGGGGCUUCACCGCCUACCAAAUCCUGACAAACUCCGAAUGCCAGUAGUAUGAUUUACAGCAGUGAGCGACCGGGUGCUAAUGUCCGGUUACGAGAGUGGAACAACACAGACCAGCAACUAAGGUCCCCAAGAGUAUACUAAGUUGAUCUAACGAUGUUUUGCUGCAGAGACAGCUAGGAUGUUAGCUUGGAAGCAGCUAUUCAUUCAAAGAGUGCGUAACAGCUCACUAGUCGAGCGGCAAAGCGUGGAUAAUAAACGGGCAUCAAGUAUACCACCGAAGUUCUGGGCACGAAAGUGCGGUAGGGGAGCAUUCCAUUCCGCGUUGAAGCCGAACCGUGAGGUUUGGUGGAGUGUAUGGAAAAGCAAAUGUAGGCAUGAGUAACGAUAAUGCGGGAGAGUAACCCGCACACCGCAAGACCAAGGUUUCCUGAUCAACGCUAAUCGGAUCAGGGUUAGUCGGGUCCUAAGGGUAAGCCGAACGGCGAUCUCGAUGGAUAAUCGGUUAAUAUUCCGAUACUAACAUAUACCUCGAUGGAGAGACGAAGGAACGUAAGUGCCGCCACCUGACGGAAUAGGUGGUUAAAGGGCGUAGGUAUAGGGGCAGAUUAAGAGUUAGUCCUUGCUGAAACCUGACAGUACAGAGAGCCUACGGGCAAUUUGAUAGUGCACCCAAGUCGACUUCCGAGAAAAUCUUCUAAGUUAUAGUAUAUGUUACCCGUACCGUAAACCGACACAGGUGGUCGAGGAGAGUAUCCUAAGGUGCUCGAGUGAAUCACGGUUAAGGAACUAGGCAAAUUAACCCCGUAACUUCGGGAAAAGGGGUCCCUAUGAAAGUAGGGCGCAGCGAAGAGGUCCAGGCGACUGUUUAUCAAAAACACAGGGCUCUGCAAAUUCGAAAGAAGACGUAUAGGGCCUGACACCUGCCCGGUGCUGGAAGGUUAAGAGGGGAUGUCAUCGCAAGAGAAGCAUUGAAUCGAAGCCCCAGUAAACGGCGGCCGUAACUAUAACGGUCCUAAGGUAGCGAAAUUCCUUGUCGGGUAAGUUCCGACCUGCACGAAUGGUGUAACGAUCUGGACACUGUCUCAACCGUGAGCUCGGUGAAAUUGUAGUCCCGGUGAUGAUGCCGGGUACCCGCAACGGGACGAAAAGACCCCGUGAACCUUUACUAUAGCUUAACGCUGAAUUUGGGUACACAAUGUGUAGGAUAGGCCGGAGGCUUUGAAGCGGGCACGCCAGUGUUCGUGGAGCCGACGUUGAAAUACGGCCCUUUGUGUAUUUGAGUUCUAACCCUGCGAAGGGGACACCGUUUGGUGGGUAGUUUGACUGGGGUGGUCGCCUCCAAAAGCGUAACGGAGGCUUCCCAAGGUACCCUCAGCACGAAUGGUAACCGUGCGCGGAGUGCAAUAGCAUAAGGGUGCUUGACUGUGAGACAUACAAGUCGACCAGGUACGAAAGUAGGGUAUAGUGAUCCGGUGGUUCUGCGUGGACUGGCCAUCGCUCAAAGGAUAAAAGGUACUCCGGGGAUAACAGGCUGAUCGCCGCCAAGAGCUCAUAUCGACGCGGCGGUUUGGCACCUCGAUGUCGGCUCGUCACAUCCUGGGGCUGGAGAAGGUCCCAAGGGUUCGGCUGUUCGCCGAUUAAAGUGGCACGCGAGCUGGGUUCAGAACGUCGUGAGACAGUUCGGUCUCUAUCUGUUGCGGGCGUAGGAAGAUUGAGGGGUCCUGACUUUAGUACGAGAGGACCGAGUUGGACGAACCUCCGGUGUAUCGGUUAUGCUGCCAAGUGUACUGCCGAGUAGCCGCGUUCGGUCUGGAUAAGCGCUGAAAGCAUCUAAGCGCGAAGCCAUCCCCAAGAUAAGUCUUCCCUUGAGGGGCGUAGGAGACUACUACGUUGAUAGGCUGCAGGUGUAAAGACAGCAAUGUCAAAGCCGAGCAGUACUAAUUACCCGAUAGGCUUUCUUUU